rnacentral:tRNA from 1 species
GGUCCCGUAGUGGAGCGGUUUAACACGCCUGCCUGUCACGCGAGGAGAUCGCGGGUUCGAUUCCCGUCGGGACCG